rnacentral:rRNA from 1 species
UGGGGAAUUUUGGACAAUGGGGGAAACCCUGAUCCAGCCAUCCCGCGUGUGCGAUGAAGGCCUUCGGGUUGUAAAGCACUUUUGUCCGGAAAGAAAUGGCUCUGGUUAAUACCUGGGGUCGAUGACGGUACCGGAAGAAUAAGGACCGGCUAACUACGUGCCAGCAGCCGCGGUAAUACGUAGGGUCCAAGCGUUAAUCGGAAUUACUGGGCGUAAAGCGUGCGCAGGCGGUUGUGCAAGACCGAUGUGAAAUCCCCGAGCUUAACUUGGGAAUUGCAUUGGUGACUGCACGGCUAGAGUGUGUCAGAGGGGGGUAGAAUUCCACGUGUAGCAGUGAAAUGCGUAGAGAUGUGGAGGAAUACCGAUGGCGAAGGCAGCCCCCUGGGAUAACACUGACGCUCAUGCACGAAAGCGUGGGGAGCAAACAGGAUUAGAUACCCUGGUAGUCCACGCCCUAAACGAUGUCAACUAGUUGUUGGGGAUUCAUUUCCUUAGUAACGUAGCUAACGCGUGAAGUUGACCGCCUGGGGAGUACGGUCGC